rnacentral:rRNA from 1 species
UACGUGAAACCGUUCAGGGGUAAACCUGAGAAACCCGAAAGGUCGAAGGGGGAGAUUCAUCGCGUCUCAUGUGCUGGCGUCACGUGGAUGUAAUGAGAUUGGCGUACGCGUCUAUUCGCAUCUUUCAUUUGACAAUGCUGGCAUUGAACGUGUGCACUUCUCCCCUGGUAGGACGUCGCGAUCUGUUGGGUGUCGGUCUAAGGCUUGCAGUGGAGCCCGUAAGCUGUGCUUGCGGACCUGCAAUGUUUCCCGGCCGACUCGCUCGACAGUGUACAGAUGGCGCAGGGCCGCGAUUAUCGCGUUUGACCUUCGGCAAGCAUACCUGGUUGUGUUGGUGAUCGGACCUAGUGCCGUUCCCGGCCUCCGGUGGCUGUUGGCCGUUGUGCUCUCGAACAGACCCUUAUAAAUAGCCGAUCUGCGACGCUAUUGCUUUGGGUAAUUUCAGGACCCGUCUUGAAACACGGACCAAGGAGUCUAGCAUGUGCGCGAGUCAUUGGGACAUAACUAAACCUAAAGGCGUAAUGAAAGUAAAGGUUCGCCUUGCGCGAAC